UACAGAGGGGGCAAGCGUUGUUCGGAAUUACUGGGCGUAAAGGGCGCGUAGGCGGCCUGUUAAGUCGAACGUGAAAUCCCCGGGCUCAACCCGGGAACUGCGUCCGAUACUGGCAGGCUUGAAUCCGGGAGAGGGAUGCGGAAUUCCAGGUGUAGCGGUGAAAUGCGUAGAUAUCUGGAGGAACACCGGUGGCGAAGGCGGCAUCCUGGACCGGUUCUGACGCUGAGGCGCGAAAGCGUGGGGAGCAAACGGG
rnacentral:rRNA from 1 species